rnacentral:rRNA from 1 species
UACGAAGGGUGCAAACGUUGCUCGGAAUCAUUGAGCGUAAAGCGCACGUAGGCGGCCCCAAAAGUUGGAUGUGAAAUCCCUCGGCUCAACCGAGGACGUGCAUCCAAAACUGUGGGGCUUGAGUACUGAAGAGGAUCGCGGAAUUCCCGGUGUAGAGGUGAAAUUCGUAGAUAUCGGGAGGAACACCGGUGGCGAAGGCGGCGAUCUGGGUCGAUACUGACGCUGAGGAGCGAAAGCGUGGGGAGCGAACAGG